GGGCUUUCUUUCGAAUCAGGCUGGAUAUGGUUAUGAGGAUAUUAGAAAAUAUUCUUGUUUCCUUGUUUGGUGAUUGGAUUACCAUUGUGGGUGGGAAUUUGAUUUCUGAGAACAAAAUAAUAGGGAAAUACACUCUGGGUGUUAUUGAUAAAACCCAGGCAGGGCAAAAGAAACAAAGAGUAAAUUUCUCAACCAAUUUAUUAUUGAGGAUUGAAGUUUUGAAUCUCAUUUGCAGUUUGGUGGGAUGUGAUAGUCAAUUUGGGCGACAAAAACAAAUUUAAUGUAUAAAAACUCCACUUCCACUUUGUGCUUUUGCUUUGGCAGCCAAAACUUCUAUGUUUGGAAUAGUACAUUCCAGUAGAUAGCCCAUCCAAUUAGUUAAAUCACUUAGUACAUUAAGGUACCUCAGAUGUCUUUCUAUUUUAUCUUUCUUAACUUGAAUUGAGGCCCGAAAAGUGUUUUUAUAUGAUGUUAUAUUUCGGUUUCGAUGGUAUUUGUCUUUGCUUAAGCAUUCCCUAGUUCUGUUUUUAAUUUAGGAGCUAGUGAAGUGUAAUACGGGGGACGAAUUCUACAAGAGCCUGAAGCUCAACCUAUGUGGGUAUCUUCAAACUUUCAGUUACGUGCUCCUGAUGCUGUUGGUUAACAAGCCUUACGAUACGAAUAUGGAUGAGAAUUUUCUAUUGCUGAUAUAUUCUAUGAUUGAGCAGUGCAGGAUAUGUUUUUCGGCUAUUUCUGCUCCUUUUCCAAACGAUUUUCUGUGGUUCAGGAAUCAGGUCUGGUCCUGAGGUCUGGACUAUGUUUGUAAGCUUUGUUGUGGCUGGGAUGCUGCUGAUUUUCUUCUUCUUCUUCUUCUUCUUCUUCUUCUCCAGUUUCUGCAGGUUUGGAGCUGAAGACGAUGGUGAUGAUGUCUUUCUCAUGCUGGAGCUUCAGUUUGCCUUGACCCUCUCAUGUUUAUAAAUGUUAUUGUUAAGUGUUGGUGUAGGCCUUCUCCAUUUUAAGAAUUGCCUUGACCCUCUCAUGUUUAUAAACGCAGGUCCGAUCAUAAGUUUGAUUUUUUUUUUCAAACGUGAUGGCAAGUAGCAGCAGAUUACUAUGCCAGUCAUAUGUGUACCCAAAAAUCUGGUUUAUAAGUCUGCUCAACAACUGAUAGCAGACGUAUCCCAAAGGUUUCUAAUCCUGAAUGCCUCUCUCAAUACAGACCUAUUAGUCUUUGUAACCUAAGCGUGAGGAUUAUCUGUAAAGUUCUGGCUAAUCGCUUAAAGCUUAUCUUGAGCAAGUUGAUCACCCCCAAUCAAUCAGCUUUUAUUCCUGUGAGGAUGAUUCAAGACAAUGUCAUAGUAGCUCAUGAGGCCUUCCUCAUUUCUUCAAGAUUCAUAAAAGGGGAAAGCGACAGGUAGUGACUGUGGCUCUCAAGCUGGAUUUUCAACAAAGUGUACGACCGUGCACAGUGGGAUUUCCUAAGAGAGGUCAUGAUUAGAAUGUGCUUCAAUCUUCAGUGGGUACACCUCAUUAUGCAGGUCUACUUCUGACUCGAAGAAAAGGCACACUUGGAACAGAAAAAACUUUUGAGGUUCUUGAGCCCCACGGUUGGAUCCACCAAACUUUUGCCUGAUGAUUCUUUUAUUUAUGCUAUUGAUGGCAUGUCUGGAUCGGGUGGUGAGCAAACAAUCAGUUGCAGAGAGACUGAACUCCUGUGAGUAAACUUAUACAAAUAGGGUCUUGAACAGGAUGUAACCGCGGUAGGAGGGAAGUUUUGCCUUACUUUUUUCAUUUGGUUUGUGAAUUUGCAAAUUUUCCCUUUAUUUUGAGGAAUGUUCGUUUCCGGAAAAUUGUUGUCUUCAAAGAGAAAUAUGAGAUCAUGAUUAGAGAUGUUCGUUUCUGGAAAACUUGAACUACAAUAAAGGAAAAUGAUUUCGAUACAGAAGCUUUUACAAAAUUAUUCGUUCAGAAAGAUGUGACAGUAUUAUUUUUCGAAAUAUCUCACGGGCCACCCUCUCUCCUACUUGAAACCCCUUUCAGCGACGGAUUCUCCUGCUGACUGAUGCUCUUCCAGCAAUACCAUAAGCAAAUUAAUAAUCCUUGUCAAGGUUUAAAUUCGAUAAUUGUCCGCUUACAUUGUUAUGGUGAUUACAUUGAAAGCAGUAUUUCACACUUUGGUACUGGGAUAUUAACUAUUACAGUCUUGAUGACCAUCCAGGAUCCAGUGGUGCAAUUCUGGGUUUUAUUUUGAUGUGGAUUUGAGAAACUGUCCUUAAAUUUGAGUUUUGAUCUAUCCUCUUAGUAGAAAUCUCCUCUCACCCCAAUGUUUUUGCUUGCAUUUAUGAGCACAUUAAUUUGUAAUUAGUCUGUAUUAGUGGAAAGUGAAGACAAUCUAUUCCUAUGGUGCAGGUGAUAUCUUACUUGAGAGGUCCCCUACUUUUCAUAUUCAGUUUUCAUCCCACAACGUCAUACGAAAGAUACAGUGUAGGUGUGGAAGAAGAUGGAGAAUAUCAAGUCAUACUGAAUUCGGAUGAAAAGAGGUACGGUGGUCAAGCACUGAUUUAGCAGGACCAAUAUAUUCAAAGAACUAUCAGUCAGAGAAUGGAUGGACUCCGAAAUUGUUUGGAAGUGCCACUUCCUAAUAGAAGUGCUCAGGUUUACAAAUUGACUCGGAUUCUGAGAAUAUGAACUGUCAUGCAUACUCAAUUUUGCACAACUCUGGUUUUUCAAGGAAAUGAAGCCAAAACCAAUGAUCACAUAAGAUUGUUUACCUUCCUUGGGCAACAUUUUUACUCUUUAAAAGCUUUGAAACGUAAAUUUUGACAGAAAGAAUGGGGGUCCAUAAACUUUUCAGCUCACACAUAAUCCUCGGUUAUCUCCGGUGGUGUACAGUACUAGCACUGUGGUUGACCUCUCUCUCUCUCUCUCUGGGUGAUGCUUUCUCAAUGUGCUACCGUAAAAAGAAGUCUACUUGUGACUUGAAGAAAAGGCACACUUGGAACAGCAAAAACUUUUGAGGUUCUUGAGCCCCACGGUUGGAUUCCUCAAACUUUUGCCUGAUCAUUCUUUCAUUUAUGCUAUUGAGGGCACGUCUGGAUCAGGUGGCAAACAAACAAUCAGUUGCAGAGAGACUGAACUCCUGUGAAUAAACUCAUACAAAUAGGCCCUGUUUGAUUGGAGGGAUUGGAUUAGGAAGGAUUAUAGCUAUGUAGGGUCUUCAACAGGAUGUAACCGCGGUACUUUUUUAUUUGGUGUGUGACUUCGCAAAUUUUCCCUUUUAUUUUGAGGACUGUUCCUUUCCGGAAAAUUGUUGUGUCCUUGAAGAGAAACGUGAGAUCAUGAUUAGAGA